AUGAGGCACCUGUGCAGGUGCAGAGGGGAGGUGUGCGGCUGUGCUCCGCGCGUCCGGCACUUAAAAGCAAGAAGGCAGCGUGCCUAACGGGAUGCAUCGACUCGAAACGGGACGUGGUUGUUCUCCCACAUCCGUUUAAUUUUUGUAUUGCUUUGCUCGAAGUUAUUGUCUUCACAUAAGAGCGGUCCUCUGGUGGCUUUUCCCUUCUCGUCGCAGAUCUGGCAGCUCCCGUGAUCUCGAAAUGUCACCACAUGUUCUGAAUUGUGGGGCUCUGAAAUGACUGUGGCUUUGCGUGUAGUCAGUGUUCCAAAUAAGCAUUCAGUCUCAGCAAUACCAAAUAAAACACACGGCUCCCAACUGCACAGAGUGGAUUAAAGAUGAGAAAGCGACCAAUACUUGCGGCUUCUCUGUUCCCACAAUUCUAUUUGUAUUUCUUAAAAGGGAACUUCCAUCUCUCAAUGAGCUAAUACAAGUGCCCCAGUACCGAAAUACAGAGCAACAAAUGAGAAACAAAAGCGAAACCAUAACACAGAGCGCAUCCUAUGCUGUGAAUACUGUGCUGUGAGCUGGAUUUCAUACACUGGAAUAUCCUAUUUCCUUCAUUGGGACUUUCAUUUCCAGUAGGUGAAAUGAAAGAUCUGCAUGAAGCCACACGGGUGUUGUAUCCCACAUAGGUGUCACCAAAUCAGGCACUUCCAUGAGGUUCUACUGCUCUUCUCUAUGUAGGAUCAGUUCUUUUAGGGUAUGUUUUAAAGGAAUUGUGAGUACCUGUGUUUCUUAUUACAGUAAUAACUGGGCCUAAGUCCUACCACCAGUACCACAUCUGAAACUAGGUGAAGUUCUCGUGUAGCUCCUUUUCCUCACUCGUCUCGUUCUUUCCCUGAAAGAGUUCUGCUUCAAAAAUGUAAGAUAAAACUUGGGCAAGAGCAAGUGUGCACUGAAUUCACUUAGGACACAGAUAAGAGCAAGAGAGAAGCUUACAGACACUUUGUCACCCCAGCUGCCUUCCUUCCUCUUCCUCCUCCCCAGCAACUUCAGAACAACAAAUUACCCCAGAACAUGGCUUACAGCUAGCAGAGCUUUCUGAAGGUAAAUGACAACUGAAUACUGCAACUAGGUGACAAGACAGUGUGCUAAUUAAUGCUAAUGCAGUUUGCAUAGGGCUGGGACUGUGAUUUGAGGAACAUUGGGUGCUAACAGAACACAACGCUCGCUGAUUCCAUUUAAUUCAACUGAAUUAAGCAGCGCUUAGAUGAACAACACUAUUACUGUUAAAUUUGUUCCCAUGCUAAAAAAGCAUUCAAAAUAUCGGUACAUGUGACAGCUGUGUCUCUACCACAUGACUGGGAUCCUGUGCAAAGCUGAGUGCAAAACUGUUUACAAGCAGGCGUUUCACCCACCUUCCAGAAUUAAGGUGAAAAGGAGAAACAUUAUCCGCAGUUCUGGAUGAACGCCUUUGAAUUUAGGGAGGUCACAAAGUUGGCUCAAUUGGUGACCUGAGGUUUGCACGUUGGGAGAUUUUUUUUUCUAAAGCAUAAAAUGUAACUUGUCUGCUGAAGAUCUCCUUAGGUAUCUGCAUAGACAGCUCAGGUUUCCUUCACUGUGCUUCAUUUCAAAUGCUGUUCAAUGAGUGGCUGUAGGUGAAAUGGGCAAUGCGAAUGGAUGAUAAACAUGGCUCUCCAGCUUCUGUUCACAUUCAGUGCUUAACUAUGAGCCCUAGCUCCUGCACAGUGCAUCAUGCAAAGCGUGUCAUCCAUCCCCACAUGGACGUCCCCAUUGCCAUCCUCCUCUUCACUGGCUGCCCAAACCCAAAAAACACUGAAUCAUGGAAUGGGUUAAGGUUAGAAGGAACCUUAAAGGCCAUCCAGUUCCAGUGACAAGGGAGAGGGCACCGGGUGCUUGUCACUUUGGCUCAGAUCUCUUCCACUUGGUCUUGAUGAACUUCAGAACUGAAACACUGGAAAUGUUUUCUCACUUAAGGCGGAGAGUUCAGUGGGAGCAACAGUACUCAGCAAAUAACAAAUGCCCCCCAAGUACAGUCUGAGGUGAAUACGGGAUCUACAAAGCACGCAUUUGUAAAAUCAUAAGUGCUAAAAUCCGCCACCAUCUAAAGUUUUCAGUGUUCCUCAAAACAGAGAAAACCAAACGAGUUUGGUGUUAACACCAGCCAAACGCUGUGCUGUAUAAAGUAUAAAAGAGUUAUUCAUUUGCAGUCAUGCGUAAAGUUGUUAUACAUAUUUUCCAUGCACAAGGAAAGUUUUCAAGUUCUCAGUGCUCCUCACUUGUUCUGUUUGUCAAAGGAGUUAAAACAUGCUUAUGAUCCAGCUCUGGUCUUUACCCAGGUAAUGCUGCCUGAGGUGUCCCUGGGACUUCCUUUGGAUGAGGACUGCCAGCUGACUCUAUCUUUACAUCUUACCCAACUGGCUGAAGCCAGACUUAAUAUGAGAAGCACCUUACAGCAGAUUUCAUCUUGAGGAACACAGGUCACUUUGUCAUCUGUCAGCUGGAGGAUAAAAAGUUUUUCUCCCCCACCUCAAAAGGUGAAGGGCUGUAACCUCAGAAGGGAGCAAACCAGAUGACUGACAGCCGGUUACUUUUUUGAUGAUGGUGAGAAAUUGCAUGUGGUUGUCCAAGGAUGUCUGGUCUCCUUCCCUUUACCCCCAGGUGAGAGACACUGCUAAGGAAUGCCAUCCUACAAAGGGCUGUAGACUAAGAAUUGGUGUCAGAGUCCUAUUAGCUCCUCUACUUACCACGUGAUGCGCUGAAGGACCACGCAUGACUGCUGUUUUGUACCCUUUGACAUCAUCCAGCCUCUUUAGCCAUGGCCAUGCUUUGUGGCAGAAGUGGUCUGCUAUUAAGUAUUUGUCAUCCUUGCACCUUGCUGAACCACAAAAACCAAAAACAAGAAACAAGACUUAUUUAAGCUACUUCUUCAGAUCCAGCCCUAUACAUAUUCUACUACCUUGAACUUCAAACAGGUUCUUGGUGUCCCUUUUGCACCAUUUUUUUGUUUCAUAUGCCCUAAAUCUUACAGCUGUGACUAGAUAGAUACACAAUUUUGUUCACCUCAUUUCAUCCCCUGGAGUUCAAAACUUGGUUUCCAUUAGUGGAAAGCUAGUAUAGGCCCCCGAAGACUACAACAACCUACUUAAGCUUAAGGUAUGUUUCAAGGUCGUGUUGGAUAAGGAGGAAAGAAAUCAGCUCCUACUAGCUAAUGAAAACUGCAAUGUCAUUUCAGAUCAGGCCUGCAGUUUGGGCUCCAAAAUGCCAAAUUUGUUUUUUCACUUCUUUCUGUUCAGGGGAUGGAUUCAAACCUGCUGACAAGCCUGCCCGUCGUGAUUUCCCCUCAUGUGAGCUUUUCUCACCCUAUCUGAGAGCCCCAUUUUACAGAGACCAAGGUCUGUGAACUGUUUGACAGAACUAAUGGAAAAUCACAGGCCAAGUACUCCUCCAAAAAAUGUAAUUCUGUCAAAGCAGACAUGGAAUUUGAGGACAAGUGUCAAAACCACAGGAUUUUUUAAUUCUAUUUUGAUUUUUUUUAUUUAUUUAUUUAUUUAUUUUUAGGGGCAUGCUGCUGUGUUUUCAGAGGGGCAAGAGAACUGAAGACAAGAGAACUUAGGUUGAGGAGGUGCUGCCCACUAAAAUAAACCGUGGCACCUGUCCCCUGGAGGAAGGGGGGUGGUGGUUUGGGAGGAAACCUUCCCAGAGGUCUACGGUUGAACCAGAUGGUAUUAAUGGCCUUUUCCUACCUUAACGAUUCUAUGAGUCCAUAAUUCAGAGAGCGAUCUUCACAGCUGGCCUGGGAGCAGGAAGUGAGCAUAUAGCUGAUCUGCCAAACUGCAUCAAAACAUCUCCAACGCAGCCUGGGGGAGUGCUGAAGCUUGUUGAAUGGAUCAGUUCUUCCUUUUGCUCCUAUUUUUUAAGUUUCACUUCACGAUACAAGAACAACAAGCUGAAAGGAGGUAACAGUGAGGUGGAAGUCGGCCUCUUCUCCCCGCAAACAAACUAUAAGACUUCUCUGGCUAUUGAGCAGAAGAAACAUAUGGAGACAGAAUUAUCCCACUGGAGUUUUCUUUGCUAGCAGAAGUGAGAGGAAGAAGCCACAAGAUUUGACAUGAUCCUCACAAGAAACUGUAUUUUGAGAGAAAAAGGGAAGAUAUUGCAACCUACUGCUCACCCGGAUAUUACAAAAUUAUCCUUCAUGUGUCACGUGGUAGAAUGUGGGUGGUAUAAUUUAGUAUUAUCUUCCAUUGCUAUUGAUCUACUGCCACACUUCUUAAAAACUCUUUCUGCCAUUAGUAUGGUGUCCAAACACAAAGUGAGUGCCCUUUUUAGCUUGCUAUAAAACCAGAUUUCUAAGUGCUAGUAGCUUAUUUAUAAACCAUUACAUAUAUUCUCAUUUAAAAUGGGAUUUCCAAGUUUUAGUUUUCUACAAGUUGUAGAAAGAGACGUUUCUGUUUUACAGGGUUUCUUUUGUUACUCAAAAUAAUGAGAUUGCAGCUCUUUGGAACAAGGAUUUAAAGCAAAACCAUGCACUAACACAUAGCUGAAUUCUGAAGUUUAAAUUAGAUUAUCAGCACAAUUAUUUUACAAUCCACUUGGGAAAGUAAUAGGCAAAAAAAGCUUUCAUGGCAUUUCACCUUUACAUGACUGAUGUGGCAAUCUGGGUUCUGAUUACUUGGGCAACUGAUCGACAACUUCACAUUAGCCAUAAAAGAAAUGCUGGAAAGAGUUUACAAAAAAAGGAAAGACAAAGGAAUAGUGGUAAUUUGAAUAGAAAAAGAAAAACAUCCAGAACCAUGACCAGGAAGUAGUUUUGGAACUUUAUUCCUAAGUACAAGAAAAAGAAAAGCUGAGCGUUGGCCAGCCAUUAAUUCUUACACUGUGACAGUACAAAGUUGGCACUUAAACAAGAAAUGGAACAAACUGAUGCCGAGGAAAUUUCAGAGCCCUUACCACUAAAUCUUAUAAAAAGUGCCAGAUUCUAGCUGUAGGGAGUUCAAAGAACAGGUGAAAAACAUGCAAAUAUUAUUCUCUUCUCACAGUGGGGACACCUAGAGCUUUAGAAGUUCGUCAUGUCUUACCUGAGGCACACCUUACUACUGUGAAAAUAUAUAGUAUACACAGUAUUUAUUCUAAAACUACUUGAUAGUUCUGGCCUAACACCUGGAUUUUUCCAAUCUUGUAACAGCAAUAUGUUUCGAAGACACUAAAUAUACAUCUAUUUCAUAUUUAUGUUGAAUGUAAUCAAAAUUAUGUAAACUAAGAAUAUAAUUUUCCCUGAUUUGAAA